rnacentral:tRNA from 1 species
GGUAGGGUGGCCGAAGUUAGGCGGUGGGUUGUAGCCCCUCUAAUAAAGGUUUAAGUCCUUUCUCUAUC